GACGAUUCUAGCUCAAAUGGCAGAGCAUCGCGCCGUAGUAGCGAUCUAAAAGUGCGCGGGUUCAAAUCCCGCCAGCCGUCG
rnacentral:tRNA from 1 species